UUGCUCACACUGGCAGCACAUAUUCUAAAAUUGGAACAAUACAGAGAAUAGUAGCAUGGCCCCUAUGCAAAGAUGACAUGUAAAUUCAUGAAGUGUUCCACGUUUUA